AGAUGAGGGGGCCGAGAACUUGCUUAUUCACGGAUCUACCUGAGAAGCUGCCUGGAGCUAGUGUUCCUGACUUCCACACCUGAAGAUGCUUGGGAACUUCAUUCAUUGGACUCAAAUUAAUGAAGACAUGAGACAUAAGAAGACGUGGGACUUCAAGAGGGGCGUUGUCCAUCUCUUCUGGCUCUCUACCUCUCUAUCUGUUAAAGUAAUGGAUGUCUGUAAAGAUAUGUGUAGUCCUCACCCAUAAUCAUGGAAAUUUCUCUUUGCAACCGAAGAACACCUUUGCAGAAAACCACAAGAUCAAAAUGCAGAAUUUUAGAGUUUAAUACCUAAAAUUA